ACUGGGGUGCUAUUAAGCUGAGAGAGGUUGUAAUACCUUAACCCAUAGUACUUGAUUCGGAUAAUGCCGACGAAAGGAGUAAGAAAUAUU
rnacentral:ncRNA from 1 species